GUGAGUUGAAAAUACAAUUUCAAUGAAGUAUACAUGACAGUGAACCUUGAAAAUCCAAAUAGGAGAAACCCUAUUCAGAGAAGCAAAACCCCCAUUUCAAAGAAACCAUUUGAAAAUCAAAAUUGGAGAAACCAUCCUAUUCUUCUCUCGAUCUCGACUCGAUUCCUUGCCAUUUGGUCUGUCGGCGACUUUGACGUUCUGCAAUAGCUCUCUCUCUGACGAUUGAAGGUUUCUCUUCAUCUUAUGCUCAGUCUGGCAGCGAACGACUUCAACUUCUCAGUUCUCACUCUCAAUCCGACGGUGAAGGUCGAGUUCGCAGGUUAUUGUAGCAAUGGACCCGAGUCCAGCUGAUCCUACUGUGUUGACGCUACAACAUCUCACCGAUCCUCUUUAGCAUGGACUGCCUCGGAUGAUGUUGACUUCGUUAUACUUACGUGUCGACGUCGCGAGGCUACGAUAGCACGUAUGGGACCCCUUGAUGCACACAUAGUCCCAUACUUGCAGAAACCAGGAUUUUCUGGACUCAUCCAUGUGCCGUUCAUACAAUUAGAUUGGCAUCUUAUUACUGCACUAGUAGAGAGGUGGCGAUUGGAAACAUGCACAUUUCACUUAACAUCUGGGGAGGCAACCAUCACAUUGCAAGAUGUCAAUAUCUUAUCUGGACUACGGGUUGAUGGUAAUGCUGUUACAGGGAGUACUGGUUAUGAUUGGCCUGCUGUAUGCAAUCGUCUUCUAGGGACAGUUCCACCUACCCACCAGCUCAAAGGCUUGAGGUUGAACAUGACGUGGCUUUUCCAAACUUAUGGUAACUUACCCAUUGAUGCUGAGGAUGUCACAGUUCAGCGCUAUGCUAGAGCAUUCAUUCUCCAGCUUUUGGGUGGUAGCAUUUUUGCAGGCAAAUCUGGUAGGUAUGGUGCAAUUGAUGUUUCUGCCUUUACUGGAGGACUUUGAUGCUGUUGGGGAUAUAGUUGGGGGAGUGUAGCACUAGCUUGGUUAUAUCGAGAGUUAUGUUGUGCAUCUCGCGAACGUGUGCAUGACAUUUCUGGUUUUCUCAUUCUUGUUCAAAUCUAGGAAUGGUAUAGAUUUCGCCACAUUGCUCCGCGUCAUCUUCUUAGACAACCAAUAGCGGACGGUCCGCUCAUCACACGUUGGUGGGAUGCAUUUACUGUUCGAAAGAUUUCCACUCAUGUCCUUCGUCAAUAUUGUUAUUCCUUGGACAGGCAGACCUGUGCACAGGUGGUGUGGCGACCUUACAGUACUGAGUUGAUUGAGGGGCUUCCACCAUAUUGUUUGGAUGGUGCACAUAUAUGGCAAGCAGUAGUUCCAUUGAUCUGUUUUUUCAUUGUCAAGAUGUACCCUCUUGAUAGAGUACAACAACAAUUUGGAUUUCGCCAGACUAUACCCCACAAUUGUGACAUUGUCAUUACUCUUCAAAACCUCGAUUUACAUGGAACCAAAACUAAAUAUUGGGUGAACCAUCACAAAGAGUGGAUUCAACUAUAGGAUUAAUGCCGAACCUGCAUUGUUAUAGGCGAACCAUGGGAUGGUAAUAUGCAUGGUGAUGAUCCGUACAUGGUAUGGUAUCGACGUAUCACUCGUCGAUACAUUAGUCGUGCUACAUGUACAUUUGAUUUCAUGAGUGGUCAUUUGGUACAAAUUUGUAACGCAUCUCUAAAGGGAUCACAUAUUGGCACACUGGCCAGGUAGGCACUUGCUGCUCUUCAUGAGCAAGAUCGCUUUGUAGGGGUACCUCCACCAUAGCCUGGCGUUGACGCACAUGCAAAGGCUGAACCAUCUGAUGGGGUAGAUAAUGAGCCACAUGUUGAGAGGGACUUCACCUUUAUACCAGACCUCAGACCCACGUUAAAUGAUUGGUGUCAAACCCCUAUCCGCAUGGAAGAUUUUGGGAAUGCAAUGACAGAACAACAUGAAGAAGGGGUCACACAUUUUGCGGAUGGUGUUUCUCCUACAGCAGCAGGGGCUUUACAUUCUGGAGACGGACUGACACAAUCACCUGAGAGGGUUCCAACCUUUACCGAGACAGUAACACAUAGUGAAGAGAGGGGAUCACAUGCUAAUGAGCAACAUCUUCGGACUACACAUGCAUCGCACGAGGAGGUCCCAGUCACAGUUUGAAAAGGAAGGUACUCAGAGCGGAGAUGGGAUUCCAUUGUCUACUGAGAGAGUUACACAAUGUGGGGAAGGGGGAUUACAUGUUGAUGAGCGAGUACUACCUAUUGUGCAUGUGGACCUUGUUCCUCAUAGGAGGAAGCCAGGCAAACGUCAAGCUAUUGAGGAGGCUGUCACACAGGUUGCAGAACCCCCACGUCGCAAGGACAGGGUUCCAUCCUUUACCGAGACAGUCACACAUAGUGAAGAGAGGGGAUCACAUGCUGAUGAGCAACAUCUUCGGACUACACAUGCAUCACACGAGGAGGUCCCAGUAUCUGCCAUUACACAGUCUAAAGAGGGAGGUACUCAGAGCGGAGAUGGGACUACACAUGCAUCACAUGAGGAGGUCCCAGUACUUGUGGACCCUGUUCCUCAUAGGAGGAAGCGGGGCAGACAUCAAGCUACUGAGGAGGCUGUCACAUAGGUUGCAGAACCCCCACGUCGCAAGGGAACUCGCAAAAUUGGACAUCUUGGAUGUGGCAUCCAUACACCUCCCCCUGCUCGGCACAGAUAGUAGUGAUGUAUAACAUAUAUUAUUUUUGUGACAGUUAUAGUUUUUAGUGUUUAACGUAUAAUUAGUAUUAUAAGUAGGAAAGAAAAUGUUAAGUUGAAUAUUGACAGUUUCAUGUUUUAAUUUUUGAUUUUGGCUUUUGAAUGUUGUUUUCUUAAUUUGGUUUGACUGGAGGUUUGUAUUGAGGAAAUUAAAUAGGCUAAUGGGCUUAUUGGGGACACCAUCUAUGCUAGCAAGUAGAGGAAAAGAGGAGACCCUUGCCCAAUUACAUGGACAAGGUUCAAAAAUGAUAUUAAUCAAACUAUGCAAGAUAUUCUGUUGGAUUGGUUGGUUCAGGUUGCAGAGGAAUACAAACUUGUCUCGGACACCCUUUAUCUCAGUGUAUACUACAUUGACAGAUUCUUAUCUAAUCAUGCUAUAAGCAAGAACAAGCUUCAGCUUCUUGGUGUUUCUUGCAUGUUUGUUGCCUUGUAUGCUCAUGAACCCCAUUUUAUAUGGUCUUAUUUUUCUUGGUCAUUACAUGGGUUGAUCCUCUUAAUAGUACUUUUUUAUGGUACUCUUAAUGGGUUGAUCCUCCCCAUGUUGAAGAUUUUUUUCUAUAUAACAGAUAAUACUUAUACAAACGAAGAGGUGAGUUUGUCCCCACGAAUUUGUCUUCGUCUUUUUUUUUGCCACAAAAAAUCUACCAAUGCUUGUACAUGUUUUGAGGGGUGAUUGUGCAGGUGGUGAAGAUGGAGCAAGAUGUCCUCAACUUUUUGAACCUUGAGAUGGGUACUCCCACAAUAAAAAAUUUUAUGAGGUAGGAAGACUGUCAUU